CCAGGAGUUCCCUCGCCGUUGGCUGCCUGCCAUGGUUCCAGCGGGACUCAGUCAAGGGCUGUGCUUUUAGGGAAGGUUCCACACACACAGGAGCAGGGAGAUGCAGCAUGCCUCACAGCGUCCCCACCCGGACCUGGCCGUCCCCAGGUCCCAACCCCUCGGGGUGCGGAGCUUUCAGGGAGCAGCAGCUCUGUGGCUAGAGGAGAAGCGUGGGUGGCCUCCAGGGACGGGGUCAUGUGGCCGGCAUCUUCAGGCGGAGUUCGCCAUGUUCAGCGGGACCCACGUGGAGCGGGACUUUGUGGAGGCGCCCUCGCAGAUGCUGGAGAACUGGGUGUGGGAGCAGGAGCCGCUGCUGCGGAUGUCGCGGCACUACCGCACAGGCAGCGCCGUGCCCCGGGAGCUCCUGGAGAAGCUCAUUGAGUCCCGGCAGG
rnacentral:sRNA from 1 species